rnacentral:rRNA from 1 species
UACGGGGGGGGCAAGCGUUGUUCGGAAUUACUGGGCGUAAAGGGCUCGUAGGCGGCCAACUAAGUCAGACGUGAAAUCCCUCGGCUUAACCGGGGAACUGCAUCUGAUACUGGAUGGCUUGAGUUCGGGAGAGGGAUGUGGAAUUCCAGGUGUAGCGGUGAAAUGCGUAGAUAUCUGGAGGAACACCGGUGGCGAAGGCGGCAGUCCUGGACCGACACUGACGCUGAUGAGCGAAAGCCAGGGGAGCAAACGGG